rnacentral:rRNA from 1 species
AUUGAACGCUGGCGGCAUGCCUUACACAUGCAAGUCGAACGGUAACAGGUCUUCGGAUGCUGACGAGUGGCGAACGGGUGAGUAAUACAUCGGAACGUGCCUAGUAGUGGGGGAUAACUACUCGAAAGAGUGGCUAAUACCGCAUGAGAUCUACGGAUGAAAGCAGGGGAUCGCAAGACCUUGUGCUACUAGAGCGGCCGAUGGCAGAUUAGGUAGUUGGUGGGAUAAAAGCUUACCACGCCGACGAUCUGUAGCUGGUCUGAGAGGACGAUCAGCCACACUGGGACUGGGACACGGCCCAGACUCCUACGGGAGGAAGCAGUGGGGAAUUUUGGACAAUGGGCGAAAGCCUGAUCCAGCAAUGCCGCGUGCAGGAUGAAGGCCUUCGGGUUGUAAACUGCUUUUGUACGGAACGAAAAGCCCCGGGUUAAUACCCUGGGGUCAUGACGGUACCGUAAGAAUAAGCACCGGCUAACUACGUGCCAGCCGCCGCCGUAA